rnacentral:rRNA from 1 species
GGGCCCGCACAAGCGGUGGAGUAUGUGGUUUAAUUCGAUGCAACGCGAAGAACCUUACCAACCCUUGACAUCCUGUGCUACAUUCAGAGAUGAAUGGUUCCUUUCGGGGACGCAGUGACAGGUGCUGCAUGGCUGUCGUCAGCUCGUGUCGUGAGAUGUUCGGUUAAGUCCGGCAACGAGCGCAACCCACAUCCCUAGUUGCCAGCAGUUCGGCUGGGCACUCUAUGGAAACUGCCCGUGAUAAGCGGGAGGAAGGUGUGGAUGACGUCAAGUCCUCAUGGCCCUUACGGGUUGGGCUACACACGUGCUACAAUGGCAUCUACAGUGGGUUAAUCCCAAAAAGCUAUCUCAGUUCGGAUUGUCGUCUGCAACUCGACGGCAUGAAGUCGGAAUCGCUAGUAAUCG